CUAAAAACUAACAAUUUCCCGGAUUUUAUAGUGAGUCCGUGCAUGUGUAGAGACACAUGUUACCAUCCUUGUUUUUAGAUAAAUUAAUUCAAAGUUGACUGAUAUGCAUAGAUGUUUGUUUGAUUAGGGGUUGUAAAAUGUCCGGUGGCAAAUACUUCAGGUAUGUUCAGGACGACACAAUACAAUAGUUGUGUCUGAAAGACACAUUUUUAAUGCAUCCAUAAAAAAAAUUACGAUUAGAAACAUUCCGUCAGUUGUAAAAGUGAUUGAUAAAAUAACAUAUAUUUCGAAUGAUGUAAACGUGUGGGUUGUGUGCGUAUUUGCGUAUAAACCUUGCAAACUGUACAUUUGAAAGACCAAGUCAACAUUCUGUCAUUCGUAAAAAUUAUGCAAUAAAAAUAUCUGAGAAUAUAUAUAUGCAUCCUCUAUAAGUAAAACACAUCAGUGGUGCAUUAUGUAAAUUCCAACCAUUUUAAACGAAAUUGACUAAAAGUGUCACAAAAAAUGUGCCGUUUUUCA
rnacentral:lncRNA from 1 species